rnacentral:rRNA from 1 species
AUUGAAUGCUGACGGCGUGGAUGAGGCAUGCGAGUCGAACGAAAUAUGUGGCUUGCUAUAUAUUUAGUGGCGGAAGGGUUAGUAAUACAUGGGUAAUCUACCCCUAACAUCGGGACAACGGCUGGAAACGGCCGCUAAUACCGGAUGUGGUGCUAGGAAGUAUCUUUUUAGCAUUAAAGUUUGGGAUUGAGCAAUCAACCAUUCGGUUAGGGAGGGGCCCAUGGGAUAUCAGCUAGUUGGUGAGGUAACGGCUCACCAAGGCUAAGACGGCUAGGCGGAUUGAGGGAUUGACCGCCAACACUGGGACUGAGACACUGCCCAGACUCCUACGGGAGGCUGCAGUCGAGAAUCGUUCGCAAUGGGGGCAACCCUGACGAAGCGACGCCGUGUGACUGAUGAAGGCCUUCGGGUCGUAAAGGUCUUUCGCAAGGGAACAAGAGAAGUUGGUUAAUAGCCGAUGGAUUUGAGGGUACUUUGUAAAGAAGCACCGGCUAACUCCGUGCCAGCCGCCGCGGUAA